rnacentral:rRNA from 1 species
ACGUAGGGGGCGAGCGUUGUCCGAAUUUAUUGGGCGUAAAGCGCAUGUAGGCGGCUCUUUAAGUCAGAUGUGAAAUGUAGGGGCUCAACCCCUGAACUGCAUUUGAAACUAUUGUUCUUGAGUGAUGGAGAGGCAGGCGGAAUUCCGUGUGUAGCGGUGAAAUGCGUAGAUAUACGGAGGAACACCAGUGGCGAAGGCGGCCUGCUGGACAUUAACUGACGCUGAGGCGCGAAAGCGUGGGGAGCAAACAG